GAAAUGCGAUAAGUAAUGUGAAUUGCAGAAUUCAGUGAAUCAUCGAAUCUUUGAACGCACAUUGCGCCCUCUGGUAUUCCGGGGGGCAUGCCUGUUCGAGCGUCAUUACAACCCUCAAGCUCUGCUUGGUAUUGGGACGUGUCGGUUCCCGACACGCCUUAAAAUCAGUGGCGGUGCCAUGUGGCUUCAAGCGUAGUAACUCUUCUCGCUCUGGAGUCCAGGUGGCCACCUGCCAGCAACCCCCAAUUUAUCAAUGGUUGACCUCGGAUCAGGUAGGGAUACCCGCUGAACUUAA
rnacentral:misc_RNA from 1 species